AUUUUGAAUGAUGACUAGUUUAUCGCCCCAGUCUGAAAAUUGUUGCGGAUUCGAAUUUUCUGAAUUU